AAGAGAUUAAUUUAUUUUUGAGUAUAGUUGUCUCGUCACUACUUUUCGAGCUGACGACGACAACGCUCAUUAGGAUAUCCGUUCGGCUCUCAGCAGCCAUUUUUCUCGCAUGUAACAUGUUUAAAGCCAGUAUAUCUCUUUAUCAACAUCGUUUGAUUCAUGUUCGUGCUCAUGUAAGUAUAUAUACAUAUAUAUAUGUAUGAAUGUGUGUAUACGCACAUAUAUAAACUCAAUGUGAUAACUCUUGCAACUAGUUACUUUAAGACUAGCAGACUACUACUAACAGUAACAACAGUAGGACGAUAACUACAGAAUGAGACAAGAAGAAAGCUGGUACAAGGUGGGCCGAAAGUUCUAAGUUUAUCGCUGUAUGUGUAACGGGCUCUCAGUUGAUGUUCGCUUUCGUUUAAUUCUUUUACAUCAGCUGAUACAGUAAAAACCGUUUAUGCAUGUGUAUUUCUGCUGUGAAGCAUCGUUCGGAAGUAAAAGCGAUUCGAUUAUCAUCAUUAACGUUAUUGGCAUCGUCGUUAGGUUCUAACCAAACGUUGAUCGUUCGUUCCAAAGAGGGAGAGAAGGAGAGGAAAGGACGUGACGACGCCACUAGAAUUGAAGCUCGAGUUCUCGUGAAGCACACAACGGACAACGACGACGAUGCGUACACGCGACGUGUCCUCAUCACGAAUAUUCGUGAUGUCAAGAAUGGUUCUAAUUUCCAUUUGGGUUGCUAACAUAUAUUUUAUAUUUUUAUCUUUUUAAAGGUCGCAAACCGAAAGGAAUUUAUUUUUUUUUUUUUUUAUGAAG
rnacentral:lncRNA from 1 species